rnacentral:rRNA from 1 species
AACGAACGCUGGCGGCAUGCCUAACACAUGCGAGUCGAACGAGACCUUCGGGUCUAGUGGCGCACGGGUGCGUAACGCGUGGGAACCUGCCUUUAGGUUCGGAAUAACUCAGAGAAAUUUGAGCUAAUACCGGAUGAUGUCUUCGGACCAAAGAUUUAUCGCCUUUAGAUGGGCCCGCGUUGGAUUAGCUAGUUGGUGGGGUAAAGGCCUACCAAGGCGACGAUCCAUAGCUGGUCUGAGAGGAUGAUCAGCCACACUGGGACUGAGACACGGCCCAGACUCCUACGGGAGGCAGCAGUGGGGAAUAUUGGACAAUGGGCGAAAGCCUGAUCCAGCAAUGCCGCGUGAGUGAUGAAGGCCUUAGGGUUGUAAAGCUCUUUUACCCGAGAUGAUAAUGGCAGUAUCGGGAGAAUAAGCGCCGGCUAACUCCGUG